UACGUAGGUGGCAAGCGUUGUCCGGAAUUAUUGGGCGUAAAGCGCGCGCAGGCGGUCCUUUAAGUCUGAUGUGAAAGCCCACGGCUCAACCGUGGAGGGUCAUUGGAAACUGGGGGACUUGAGUGCAGGAGAGAAGAGUGGAAUUCCACGUGUAGCGGUGAAAUGCGUAGAUAUCGGGAGGAACACCAGUGGCGAAGGCGGCUUCCUGGCCUGUUCUUGACGCUGAGGCGCGAAAGCUAGGGGAGCAAACGGG
rnacentral:rRNA from 1 species